rnacentral:misc_RNA from 1 species
UUUCCGUAGGUGAACCUGCGGAAGGAUCAUUAGUGAAUAAACAAGUGCAGGUUGUGCUGGCCUUCUUGGUAUGUGCACGCCUGCCGGCUUCAUUCCAUCUUCCCACCUGUGCACUCUGUGUAGAUUCUGUAUGCUAUUUUCAGGCCUUUAUUGUGCUUGGUUGAGAGGAGUUGCUUGUUUCUCCAACAAGCUCUUCUUGGGCAUGCAGGUCUAUGUUUAUAUCAACACCAUAUGAAUGUUUUAGAAUGUGCUUUAGGCUUUUUGGCCUUUAAAUUAUAUACAACUUUCAACAACGGAUCUCUUGGCUCUC